rnacentral:lncRNA from 1 species
GGGUAAAAUGUGGUUCUUUUCAUAUCAUUGGGAGUUGCCCAUUUUGGCUGGACCUGAUGAAAUUCAUCCUGGAACCCUUGCAGAACCAGCUGAGAUUACCUGAGAGUCAUUUGCAGUCAUCUCUGAAGACACCUGGCGGGAAAAGACUCUCGUCUCCUUGUCUUCAGAUUGAGUGCUGUCCAAAAAGAUAUAGAAACAAAGCAGAUGAUAAGAAGCAAAUAUGACUGCAGAGAAAAUAAAUUGGAGAGAACAAAAGGCUGCCAUUUGCAUGCCAUUAAUACUCGCCAUGGCAGUGAACUGAGGAUUGUUGUGGCUAUUCGGAACAAAC